AAUAAUUAUGAAGAUAGAUGAGCCAUUUUGCAAGUCCUUCUACAAUGUAAAAGCUCUUUUGUCAAUCUAAUUAUGCUUUUUUGAUUAAAUUUGCAACUAGAAUAAUUCCUUAAGUAGAAUAUAUAUAUAUAUAUAUAUAUAUAUAUGUCAACUGAAUAUGGCCUUACUUAAGGGACUUGAAAUGCAAUUAAAUAUAUAGAAAUUCAAGCUUUUGUUGGGCAUGUAUUCACAUAUCAAUAUUUUCUCUUCUUUUUGGAUGCAGUAACCAAGGAGCUUGACUAGAUUCCUGUGCUGGAGCUUGGCGAUAAGUGUGAUCUCAUUUUCAAGCACUUCGAGCCCUUGUCCUGAACUACUCAACAACCUCUUUACCACAAUUGAGCCACUAGACCUUCAAGAAAUCCUAAAUUGCCGUAUUAGGCAUUAAUCCCAUGGAUAAGACUUGGAUCAAUGAACCAAGUAAAAUAUUGGAGAUUUAGUUCCAUUAUAUCCUGAAGUUGCACAAAGAGAUCCAUCUCGAAAUGACCUUUUAUCGCUGCUACUUAAAGAGAAAAGUACUCAACUUCAUUGUCAUGGAUUGGGUCCUAUUCCAGAUGAACUUCGAAAAUCAAAGACAACU